AUACGGAGGGUGCAAGCGUUAAUCGGAAUUACUGGGCGUAAAGCGUACGUAGGCGGUUAUUUAAGUCAGAUGUGAAAGCCCCGGGCUUAACUUGGGAACUGCAUUUGAAACUGGGUAACUCGAGUUUAGUAGAGGGGAGUGGAAUUUCAGGUGUAGCGGUGAAAUGCGUAGAGAUCUGAAGGAACACCAGUGGCGAAGGCGACUCCCUGGACUAAAACUGACGCUGAGGUACGAAAGCGUGGGUAGCAAACAGGAUUAGAAACCCUAGUAGUCC
rnacentral:rRNA from 1 species